GGUAUAUGCUUAUUGACUUUUCAAUUUGCGAAAGAAAUUCUAGCAGACAAUAGUAUGUUAUUGUGCCGUGGUAAUAGGUUACAAGACUUUAUUGUCUAAUAGACUAAUUGAUUACCCACUACAAUAAUCAUUUACUGGCCUUUUUUUUCCAGUAAUGUAACAUGUUACUCUAUUUCAAGUAACCUAUUACUUUGUUUCAAGUAAAACAUUACAUAGUUUUCUACAAACUUCAUUUUAGGAACUUGUAACUCUUUUUAUCCUUUUAAAACUUUGUAAAAC
rnacentral:lncRNA from 1 species